CUGGAGUGGAAUCGGCUCACUCAACGUAGCUACCCAGAAGUUAUGAAUCUGUUCCAAGCAACGGCCCUGAAGUCCAUCUGCCAUCACUGGAGAGUGGUAGGACUCUUAUCAGAGCAUCCCCAGAAGAGGAUCCACCCCACUGCUCCCAAGCAGGAGAAAUUUGGUGAUCUCCAAAAUUCUUUUUUCUGCAGCAUCUUUCAGCAAACACCCCAUGAGGAUUUCAAAUCUGGUGUAACAAGAUGUUUUACUACUCUGUUCUGGUGCACUGGGACCUGCUGACAUUAAUAAUCCAGGGGCUAACCCAAGAUACUGUGAGAGAAAUCUCUUCAGGAAAUGGGCUGGAAUUUCUGACGUUUCUCAGUAUGACCUAUGUUUACAUUUCUUUCUUGUCUGUGACUCACAGGUGGGUUAAAGCUGUAUGAGCUAUAUGAUAAUCUGUGACAUGCUACCUAUGCGUGGAUGUUUUCUCUUCUCUCUACUCCUCUUCCUAUGAUCCCUGACCGUUUCAGUGGAAGCAGAGAUCCCCUGGAUUUAACAGACUUGAUUUAUUCUUCUGUAAUGCUUAGAGUUCUACAUCUAAAUUGCUCCUGUUUUUGAGGAUGGGAGCUGUAAAUUGCUGAGAGUUUGCAUACCAUGCAGGAUUUAGCAGCAAGGGCAUGGAAAAAGAUUCUUAUGUUUGACAUUUCCAGUAUUAGACACCUAAAUCCUCAGUUAGACUCUGAAGUACAUGGCCUGUUUGUUGAGCAGCUGCUGUUCUAGCUGACAGCAACUGACACUAUGGGUGAAAAAGAGCUUGAGAUAUUGAAGUCUCUAAAAGUAGAGGGACAAAAGUGAAGGGGCAUUUUUAGAUAGUACGAAACAUUGUGGUUAGGACUAGUAAAAAGACAAGUCAACUUUUUUUUAAUAAGAAGUUUGAUUUUCAGUUUAACAGAUUUUUUUAUGAGGAUGCAUCUCUCCUGACUUUAUUCACUAGG